GGAGAGUUUCUGGCGAGUUGAGUUGCUGAUCCCAAGAUGCUUUGCUGGUUUGGAAGUCCUCCUUUUAUAGCUGAAGAAUUCUCUCAUCUAGGGUUUUGAAAUCCCUCUUUGAUUUGGUGUUGGACUCCUCUUUUGAUGUUGAAUUUAAUUGCAAUUGGAUUUCCUUGGAUGAGAAGCUCUUUCGUGGCUCUUGGAUUUGUGUUGGAAGUGAUUGGAUUGGAUUUGGACUUCUGAAAAUUCGAAUUUAUGUUUGCUGCCAAUUUUCCCGCUCUGCUGUAAUUUUCUGCUGUCAAAGUGAUUUGCCCGGUGCUUUGACCAGUUUCUUCAAGUGAUUGGGCAAAUCACUGCCCAUAUCGCUUCUCUGUGAGUCAGUCCUCUGUGUCUUUGCGAGUGAUUUGACCAGUGAUCUUCGAGUUUCUUGGGCAAAUCACUGCCCAUAUCACUGUUAUCUGUUGCCUCCGGGUUUCUGCUUUGGCUUGAUCUGGGCAGUGAUUGGAGCAGAUUUUUGGGCAAAUCACUGGGCAAAUCAUCCUUUUGUAAUUUUUCUGCACUUUUUCUCUCAUUUUCCAAUUUCUUCCUUUUCUGUAAAAACAAGAUAAAAACCAUAAAUUAAUCUAAAAAAUGUGUAAAUAAGCAAUAAUAAUUAUGAUAAAAAUGUGGCUAAAUUAUGCUUGAUCAUCUAUGGAGCAGAACUAAGAGGCAAAACAGAAGUAUUAUCAGAAGUCCUUACGUUACCCACAUAAGUCACUACCAUUUCAAAAAAAAAAAAAAUCUUUUUCUAUUAAAAACAAUGGAAAAUUAGGCAGAUCAAAGACGCGACUUGAACACGAGUCUACCAAAAAGAAUCAUUGCUAGAAAAAACCAUUGGAAUAAAUUUAAAAGACCAACAAAAAUUACCAAUGGAAUUAUUAGAUCAAGAAACAGAAUUUCCAAGUGGAAGAAUAGUAGCCACCAAAGCCAAAUCCAAAGCUACUAAGGCUAAUCACCUUAAACGGAGUACCAAAUCUCAAAACAUCACCUAAGGCUACAAUACCGAGCCGAAUCGACGCUAGAAGAGGAGACGGAGCUACCGGAUCUCGCCGAAAAAGGACACAUGCGCCGGCGCAUGGAGUCGGAGUGAAGAGAGGGAAGGCGCGUCUGGGCUACACGCGCUUUGUCCGGUCAUCGGAAAUGGACAGGAGGCCGAUCUUGGGCCGCGAUUUUGAUUGGUAGGGGGUGGUGACACAAACAACUUACCCUAAACAAUUGAUCUAGAGACGGCAGAUUUGAGACCCAAGAAGCCCUCGAAAAAUUUUAAACAACAGACCCAAGGAGCUGCAGAUCUGAGAACUAGACUUUGAUACCAUAUAGAAUUUGAGAGGAAUUUUUUAUUCUAUUCUAAUUAAAUUGAUCUUUAUAAGAUUUGAGUAUAUAUACAAAGAAUCAAUUUAAAUUAGGAAUAUUUAUAACAAGAAUAAAAUCUUUAUAAUCAAGCCUAAUUAGGAUCUUAAAGAUCCGAAUCCUCCUAAUUAGGAAUCUUUUAUAUUGGUCAACAUGUUUAACCAUAGUUAGUUGGAUAAGGGUGUUAUUAGCAUCUGCCAUGGGGGAUCUACAUGUAAAGAAUAUAAAAGGCUAGUUGUAUUGCCAUGUUGGAUUAUACACACUUUCCCAAAUUAAAUUUCAAAAUUGGAUAAACUUGCAAUUAAUUUUGAAAAUUUGAACUGUUGUGCCUAGAUUUAGAGAACCAUACUAAAAUCAGCAAAAUAUGUAAAGGUUUGACUUUUUAAUGCCAAUCAAACUAUAAUUUUUAGCAUUAUAUAAUAUGGUUACGACCUGCGCUACAAAGGGAAUGGGACAUUAGAAACUCUGCUGAGAUGACAAAUUGGAAACCACUUGUGCUAACGAUAGUUUAUUUGGUUCUAGAAUUUCAAAACCUACCAACCGAAUUGAAGGGGAAAAGGAUCAAAUCAGAUAACAUGGACUCAAUAUGGUCAUUUGCUUUAAACGAAUAAUGCUCACUGCUAUAUAUUUUUCUGUUAUUGAAUUUAAGCUGACUGAUAUUUCAUGAAUGCUUAUGAGAAAGUCCCCCAUUUCAUCCAUGUAAAGAAGAUAUCUUGUGAACUUCCGUCCACAUGGUUUUAACUCUUCAUUAUGAGUUAGAAGGGUUAAGUUAUUCAAAUUGUAGCUUCAUUAUAAUCUUUCUCUUAUGCUUUCAUCUAACCAUUUCCAGUGUCCUAGAUAUUGUAUUCAUGCAGAAAUAGUUUUAUGUGUUUGAUUGCUGGACUACUGUUGAAACUUAUAUCUUGCAUAUCAUAGUAUGCGUUCAAUAUUCUUAAAUAUAAAAUUCAUUUACCAUUUGUUUUGUCAGGCAAAAAAGCUUUGCGGAAUCAGUGCUACGUUGUCUGGAGGAGAAGUGACAUGUAUAUUUGUGCUUUUUAAUCGUUCUUGUAUUCGACACAAAGUAGCGUCAUAGUUGUGCACUUGACAUCCUUCUUAUCAGGAACAGUCAAAAUCUUGGGUGGGAAGAACGAAAUUCUGAAGAAUUCGAACUCACGGUUCUCAUGUUACAAAAUUUUUUGUACGAGUAACACUAAGCUUGGUUCAAUUUUGUAAAUGGGUUUUUCAUGUUUGGUUUCUGACUUCUCAAGUCGUCUGACGGUCAGACAAAAAAAAAAUUCUUUCGAAAUUUCAAUGUAUGUGAAGGGUCUGUGCAGUCUUUUAGGUCCUGUCGAUGAUGAUUUUCAAGUAUACUAUUCUGAAGAAUCUACGUAUUGCAUUGAUAGGCUGUGUUUUAAAUUUGUCUGGGGUUUGUUGCACAUAUAGGUUGGAAUAAUUUGUAAAAAAAUUGUCCUUGCUUCAGAGUUGCAUGCCUUGGGGCAUUUUCCCAAGACAUUAUCCUUAUUUCUUUAGGAUAAUAAAUUUUACUUUGAGAAAACAUCUCUCUAUAUAUAACUAACUGGAGUUCAAGCACACUACUAUGCUCGUAUAUUUUACAAUUUUAUAAGCAGUAUCAAAUCUCAGUUACCUAUACACAGCAUAAACGUGUUGUUCAAGAGAUUUAUAUGCGCUAGUUUUUAUCUAUAUGAUAAUAAAUUAACAGGAGAUUUUGUCAAGGGAUUGUAAGGAAACCUAAAUAUUAGAGAUUUUUUUUUUCAGAAAAAGAGAGAGAAUUUAUUAAUUAUAGACUGUCAUGAGAUAAUUGUGUUGUCUCGAGUUUAGGAAUUAUGUAUAGUUUUUGGUAUAUAAGAGGAUUUUUUUUUUUAAAGGAAAAAGGGCAAGGUAAUUUAUUAAUUGAAAAUAUGGUGCAAAAGUUAAGAGCACAAAUCAAACAUAUUAUAUUUUUGCACAAUGAAACUUAAAAUAUAUGUAAGAAAAUAAUUUUUUCAUAAUUUUUAUCAUUUUUUUUAUUAUUCUCUAUUCAUUUUACUUUUUUAGACUAUAGUAGUAUAUAAAUUAACUAUUAUAAUGCUAUUUAAUUUUAUUUUAUUUCUAAAAAACUUUUCAAAAUAUCUUUUAAUAUUUAAUAAAAUUUAAUAUAUUUAAGAUGGAUAUAAUUUAAAAAUUAAUAAAAGAAAUUGUAUUUUUUAAUAUGUAAAAAAAUAAAAUGAACAAAAAUUAUGAGACGAAUAAAAUACAAAACAUUUAAAAGAUUAGAUAAUCUUAUUAGAGCAUAUUGGUUAGUUAAAAGGCAUGUUGUGCACUCCAUUCUUAGAAUUCGUGUUCUUUCUAUAAGCCCAUCUUAUGAUAUGUAAAUUUAGUUUCCUUACUGAAAGUAGGAUAUAUAAGGAUAUAUAUAUAUAUUAUACAGCACUUUGUCGAAAAUGUGAGAGAGUUUUAGAAUUUAGGAGAAAAGAAUAUUUAUGUUAUUUGCAAAUGAGAAAAAUGAAAGCAGCCUGUUUUUUUUACAUCAAAAGUAACUUAUUUAUAGUAUCAAUCAAGCAAUAAAAAAAAGUAAUCCUAACUAUUUACAACAGUAAAAGAUUAAAAUAAAAUAAAUAAUCUAUACAUUUUUACAUCCUGCUCAAGUUGAAUUUGGUAAAAACAGAAGAUUCAACUUGGAAAUAUAUUUGAAGUGUAGCUCAGAGGGGAGAGGCUUGGUCAAGAUAUCUAUAACCUGCAACUAUGAGGCCAAAUAAGUGGUACUGAUGAAGCUUUGUUGUAGCUGAUUUCUCACAAUAUGACAGUCAAUAUUCAUGUGUUUAGUCUGUUCAUGAAAAACAGGGUUGGAUGUAAUAUGUAAGGUUGCCUUGUUAUCACAUUUGAGAUUAAUCGGAAGAGAAAUAGGAACAUGCAAAUCUUUUAAAACAUAAAUAAUUCAAAUAAGCUUGCACACAGUCGAGGCCAUAGCCUUAUAUUCAUCCUGAACAGAAGACUUAGAAACAAUAGCAUUUUUUUUUUUCCAACAUAUCAAAGAUGAGCCUAGAAAGACACAAAAACCAGUUACAGACUUCUUGAAAAAAGGGCAGGAGGCUCAAUCUGAAUCACGAAAUGUUGUGAUUUGUAAUAUAGAGGAAGUUGAAAAGUAUAGCCCUUUAGACACAGAGGAUUUAAGAUAUAUAAGAACAUGAAGAGUAAUAUCCCAAUGAGGUUUUUUUGCCAUGAACUGACUUAAAUGUUGAACAACAUAACUAAUGUCAGGUCUGAUCAAAUUGACAUACAACAAUUAACCAAUGAGCCUUCUGUAUUGAUCAGGCUCUUGAACAUCAUCACCAAUAUCAGGAAGAAGAUGUAGACCAAUAGGUAAAGGAGUGAGGGGAUACUUAUAGUGUUCCAUGGCUGCAUCUCUAAGGAUAUUAGAAAUAAAUUUUUUUGACCGAGAAAUAUACCUUGGUGAGAUCGGACCACUUCCAGGUGGCCAAGAUCUUUAAUGGUGAACUUAGAGUGAAGAGUAGGCUUUACAGUUUCAAUCUCAGAAAUUGAAGUAUUAGAAACAAUUACAUCAUCAACAUAAAUCAAUAGAGCUAGAAAUACAUCAUUAAGAAUAGUUUUAGUAAACAAACAAUGAUCAUGUUGUGAUUGAGUAAAGCCCAAAAAUUUGAAAAAGGAAGUGACCUUAAUGUUUCACUGUGUAGAUGCUUGUUUAUGUCCAUAUAGGGACUUUUUGAAUAAGCAAACCUGCCCAAGUAAAGCCUUAUUGUAACCUUGAGAAGGUAACAUAAAGUCUUUCUCAUCAAGAAAUCUAUGGAAAAAAGCAUUGUUAAUAUCAAGCUGGAAAAUAGGCUACUAUUUAAUAGUGGCUGUAAUACCCGGCUAGAGUCCGGCAUCGGAAUUCCUGUCGUCCGAUAGACUCCAGGAUGUCGGAAUGCUCUAGAAGGGUAAGAUCGUUACAGUGGCAAGAGCUAUACAAAUUCUCAUUGUAGUUAAUUUGGCCACAAGUGAAAAACGAUCUUUAAAGUCUAGCCCUUCAAUUUGAUUAUAACCUUUGGCAAUUAACCUUGCCUUAUAUCCUUCCACUUAUCUUGUAGGUUUACAUUUAACUUUAUAAACCCAUUUAAACCCUACAACCUUUUUUUUCCUUUUGGUAAAAUGGUUAAGAUUCAGGUUUCAUUAUUUUCUAGAGCCUACAACUCUUAGCAUUACUAUGAUCUAGUGAGAAUCACAAGCUGCCUCAUCAUAUGUUGUAGGCUCAUGAAUUUUAGAUACAAGAGAUACAAAAGAUUGAUGAGAAGGGGUGAAAGCUAUAGAAGAUGACGGUGACACAAUGAUAAUGCUAACUUGAUACACAAAAUCUUUAAGCCAUUCAGGUUUUACUAAGGUCUAGUAGACCUCCUUUGUAUCACUAGCAUUUGUUGAGUUUCAGGAUGUUCAAAGAGAACAUCAAUAGAAGGAGAAAGAUUAGGGGAAUGAGCAGAAUUUUUUUAGUAAAUAAGCAUGAAUUCUGAAAGUCUUAGCCACUUUUAAGAGGUGUAAGAGUUUUCUUUCCACUACUCCAUUUUGUUUUGGAGUAUAUGUACAAGAUGUUUGAUGAAUAAUUCCUUUUAUAGAGAAUAGUUGUCCAUAACUUGAUAGGAAAAAAAAUAUCCAAGUGCUGCUACCCAUAUGAUUAUUCUUCCACUGGAAGAUACUAAUCCCAACCAUUCAACAUAAAAUAAAAUUGUGUUCACCACAAUAGAGUUUUGACUAAAUGUUUUUCUAGUUCUACAACCAUAUUUGACUUUCUAAAAAUAUUGAAUUGUAAUUUAUUUAACAUAAAAAAUAGAAUAUUAUUUUCUUUUACUCUUCAUUUGUAUGAUUCAUUUUACAAAAAGAAAUUCAAUUAAAUUCUUACAAAAUCAUACAAGAUUUAACAUCUUUUAAAAUGAGAAUUUUUAAAUUAAGAAAAUUCAAUGCUUUGAUUUCAAAGAAGAGAUUUGCUAAAAAAAAUUAAUUUAAUUGAAUUUUUAUCAAAUACUUAAUUUUAAAUGGGGCGAUAAUAUUUUAAUAACUUUAAUUUAAGUGAAACGUUUUAAGUUACCAUAAGUAUUUUAAUUAUUUUAAAAAAUAAAAAAUAAUAAUAAUCAUCAUCGUCACCAUCAUCAAUAUUAUAAUCGUAAUUAGAUCCAUAGAAUGUGAACUUAAAGUUUCAUAUCUGAUACAAGUUUUCAAAAAACUACUCCCAUUUUUAAUAAAAGUUGCUCUUCGCAAUCAUAUUGAUUGAUUAAAGGGCAUAAAAAAGAGCAUUAUUCUAGGCGGCAUAAUACUUCUACGUACCAAAUUCAAAGGAUUAGUACAAGACCAAAGGCAACAUAGAAAAAUAUUCCUUUUAAUUAUUUAAUAAUAAGACUUAUAUAAGAAAAUAUUUUUCAAAUUAAGUCUAAUCUGGCCAAGAAUUUUCUUUAUCAAGAGUAAUUAAUUUUGUCAUAGAAUUCUUCCUAUUUAUCUAAGGUAAUGAAUUCUAUUGUGACUAGCCCUUACCUCCACAUAUAACCAAUAUGAGCCAACACUCACCAUAUACUCAUACAUAGUAUAAGUAUGUAAGUGGUAUCAAACUCAAAUCACCUAUAUAUGAGAUAAAUAUUAUCUCAAGUCAAAGGAUCAUAUGCACUAUUAUGAUCUUGAGAGCGAACACCGACAAGAGUAAAUUCUAUGUGUUUCUCAUCAUAAAGUCGCGUGUUCGAACCACUUGUCACUAUAAGUAUCCACACCUUUGUCUAGACAUCCUAUGUAUGUCUAAACAUUCUACGUCAUAUGGCAAGUAACUCACCAUUCUGCUAUUAUUAGCACCAUUAUGCUAAUUAGAAAAGAUAAAUAGAGAUGACAGUCUACUCUGGACGAGUCAUGGCUAAUGAGAUGUCCUACGACUAUAAACAGUUUUAUAGUCAUUUGUACAAAAAUAUUCUAUCAUACAUAUUUCUAACACUUUAAAAUUGUAAUAUCUACCAAAUACUAAUAAAAUAAAAUUUUAUAUUUAAUUAACACAUUUAAUAUUAAAAUAAAAGAACUAUUUAUUAUCUUAAGGAACAUUAAAAUUAUAAAAUAUAAUACACCAUGUAGCUUUCGGGUAUAUACAUCUAACAUCAUAAUUGGUUUGAACAUUUAGCUAGUUAAAAUCUCUCAAUUAAUAGUUGAUCUAUGAUCAUAGUUAUAUCUUUAAUAAUUUCAUCAAUACAAUCCCUCUAUUUUCUUUCUUGCCCUUUCUAAAUUUGUUUUUCCCACUUCUCUUUCUAUUCUAUUCCUCUACUCCUCUUCUCUAUCCCUUCUUUUCUUGUUACAAGAUAUUUUGGUGAUCCAUCCAUCAAGAUUAACUUCCCUUUUUUUUAUUUGUUUUGUUUAAAGCGACUUUUUUUUUUAUAAAAAAAGAAUUCUAAUAAAUUUUUAUAAGAUCAUACAUAAUUUUAAUAUCUAUAUAACACAACAAUCGUCUAAAGUAAAACAUGAGCUAGCGCUCGAAAAUAGAGUCACGUGGCAAAGAUUUAAUUAGAUAAUACUCUAUCCCAUCGAUGGAAAGAAGACUCAGACGCUGCAGAUCUCAGCUCUCUAUUAAAAAUUCGCCCUCCCAACCACAGGACAAGACUCCAUGAAAAGUUACCAUUAGAGAACGUAAUACAGUAAAUCUCCAUUACAUCUAUAAUCGCGGGACCUCUUAUCUAUUAGCCAGUGCUAAUCGGAUUUCUAGGACAUGUGAUAAUCAACUAUAUCUUCUUAUAAUAUAAAAGCAUAUGAAUACAGAGAUUAAGAUACACAUUCUUAUACAAACUACUCUUGAGUUCAAAGAAUCUCGUCACGCUCGUCCUUUUAUUCAAUUUACUGACUUGAGCGUCAGAGUGAUUAUUAUAUGCACCAAUCACCUCGCUUUCUUUUUCUUACAGAUUGACCAAUCGCAGUACAAUCUUGUUUUAGACUCAUCAUCUUCUUUAUAAAUGAUUUUUUAAAAGUUAAAAAAAUAAUUAUUUUUGCAUUUCAAACAAAAGAACCAAUAAAAAAUAAAUUGGAUCCUUGUGAUUAUUUUAAAUGAUUAGCAUUAUUAAUAAUAUUGAAGAUGAAGAAGACACUGGUGAUUUCAAAUUUACCAAGACCCUGUUUAGUAUAAACGAAUCCCCAAAAUUAUUUACAAUUCAUUUUAUAAGUCUAAGUUUUAAUGUUCAUUUUAAAUGAAAAUUCAUUUUAUAUUUAUUUUAAUGUUAAACCUAAAUGAUUUCACAGAAUAUAUUAUAAGUAAACCAAAUUCCAUCAAGAUUGAUAGAAUUUGCAAUUGAAUUUUCAAAAGCCCAAAAUUUUAUAUAUUUUAAAAAUAUCUUUUUUAUUUUAUUUUCUCUUAUUUAUCUAUAUUUUAAAGCCUUAUAAACUUUAAGCAUAUAUAAAAAGGGAUUAUUGGAGGUGCAAAGCCCAUUAUAUUAUAUUAGUUGUUUGUCUGCGGAUAUUAAAAUAUUUUAUAUUACUAUUAUAUAAAAUAAUAUAAAGUUAAUUUAUAAAAUAAUAUAUUUUUUAUAUGAAUUCACUAUGAUCAUCAAAAAGAGUAAAAUAUUUUCUUUUUUAUAUCAUAAUAUAUUAUAAAAAAAUAAUAGAUUUAUCUCAUGGGAUUCAAAAUAAUAUAAAAAAAACUAUUGAUUAAAUAUGGGAUUUAUUGCCAUAAUAUAUAAUAUUUAUUAAUUAGAUUAUAUUAAAUAUAAUUUUAAAAAUUAUUAAAUCACUAAACUAACACAUAAUAAAAAAAAUUUACAUAAUAUUUUGUUAUGAACUUAUAUAUAUUUAUAUAUUUUUUACAGUGAUUUAUGUUAUUGUUUAAAUAUUUUUUUAUAUGAUAGUUAUCUAAUUGUUAUAAAUAUAUUUUUAGCAUUUUAUUUAUUAUUAAAAUAAAAAAUACAAUAAUUUUUUUUAAUAAUAAAACUUUUAUUACAAUAUAAUAAUAAUAUAAAUAUAUUAAUAUUAAUGAUAAAAAUAAUAAAUUUUAUUUAAUAUAUAUUUAUAUAUAUUAAUUAUUAUUUUAUAUAAAAAUAAAAUUAUAAAUAUAUAAAAAAUAUUAUAAAUUUAUACCACAUGGCAUAGAUAAUCUCUCAUAUAUUUAUUAUUAUUCACAUCAAAAACAAUUUCGUUAUGAUUUAUUUAUUAUUAAAAAUAAAAAUUUUAAUAAAAAUAAAAUAUAUGUUAAAAUUUUUAUUUUAUUGUGAUUAAUAUAUUAUAUUUAAAAAGUAGUCAUACAAAUUAUAAUAAUAAGGAUAAUACAUUACAUUUAUUAUGGAAAUUAAUAAUAUUAUUAAAUAUUAAAAAAUAAUUUAAAAAUAUAUUAAACCCAUCUUUAUAUAUAUUCAUUAGGGCAAUCAACCCAUCAUAUACAUUCAUCUCUUUUGGAUCACCUUAGACAUAAGAGACCAUUCACAGCACACACCAAAAGUUUUGCACACUUCCACUCUCUCCCUAGCAACCCUAGGCAGCCAGCUAAAACACCAUAGCCAUCAAAGCACUUCAAUUCUGCACCACCGAAAUACAAACAGGCUUGUUUUCUUUCUUCCAUUGCACAAGGUAAAAGCUUUUGAUUAAUAAAAAACAUUCUUUUCAUUUUGUUUCUUAUGUUUUUAUGCUUGAAAUUUCUCUAUCAACAACUUCAAUAAGGUAUUUGAAUGCAUAACAACUCUAUACAUGUGUUUAUGAAAUUCGCUCUAAUCGGAAGACGCAAUGAUCUCCUAAAUAUUUUUAUUAAAUUCUUCAUAUAAAUCAUUUCAAUUUUCAUAUGUUUUCAAAAAGUUACAAAUUUUAAAGUUAAAUUCAUAGUUUGAGAGGUCAAAAAACACAAAGUCUUGAUGUGUUCCUGAGUAUAAUGUGAUUUCAAUGACUUGCAACUUGAUUUUUAGAACAUUGUUCGAGGCAAUUCUUAAUCUUAAAAUCAAGUUUCAGAAGUUUAAAAGUGUAUUUUCAAUUUUCAUAUUAUGUCAAAAUGGAUUCAAAUUCCGUGCCCAGGAACUGAGUUCACCAGCAAUAGCCAACUUUCUAAUCCCAUACCUCUUUUUCUAUAAAGGAGUCUAAAAGUUUACUCUUUUUCUAUUCUUUAAUUUCAUGGUUAAGGAGAUAAUCAUUAUAUCUUAAGUGGGAACUCCAAUUUCACUUUUCUUUCCUUUUUUUCCUGGGAAACAUACGAAGUUUGAUCCAAGAAAACAGGCAAGUUCGCAGAUCCCAUAGAGUUCCUAUGAAGUUUUUAGCAUAAUUCGGUUGGAAAAUCUUCUUACAUGCCAGAUAUAAAAUAUAAGUUCACUGUAACAAUUUACAAAAACAGUGAUGCAAAUUAAGAUUGGUGAAUUCAUUAGCAUAAAGAAGGGCUAAGUCUGGCAUUUUCACUUGUAAUAAUGUCUACAAUUCAUCAAAUGAAUAAAGAUUUUCCAUCUGCCAACAAAAUAGUCGAGUAGCCAAAACAGCAUACAACAAUUUGCAUAUGGACAGCUAUGAAAGAAAGGUGUGAAAGAUCUUAGGGGUGCAGCUUGAUCUAUUGGCUUUAACAGCCAAACAAGCCUUAUGGAAACUCUAUACAACAUUUUAAAAAUCCAAACUGUCCAGUGGGCUUAGAAUAAAAUACCUCAGCAGUUGAUGAGCAAGUCUUCUCGAGAAGAAAAAUCUGAACUAAAACCUUCAAUCUCCUUGAGAAGCAGUACAAUGAGAAGAAAAUCAUCGUAAUGCAACUGGGAUAAAUACACCCACCAGUUUGAUUUGAUCCUCCUCUCCCUUCAAGAUGUUAAUCUUUCGUAACCCAUCUACGCCCUCUGAUCUCAUACCCACCAUAGUUUUGGUCACUACUACUCUCUCCCCCACUCUCUCCGCUUGCAUAUCCAGAUUUUCGGUGGUGUUUCUUUCCCCUUGCUAACCCACUGUCACUAAAGCUCCCAUUUAAGAGGGGAUCAUCUAUCCCCCGAAUCACCUUCCGCGUGGGUGGAGUUAUACAACAGUCGUCCUUCGUUCUUCUUUUAUCCUUGUCGUGUCUCUUUAUGUUUUGAGAAAUCUUGUGCAAUUUCUCAUUAAACUUUGUGAUACCCUUCUCCACUGGCUCCACUGCUUGGUUAACAGUGAACUUCACAUCAUUCACAAUCUGCAUUGAAGAUAAAUAGCACAUUCAACACCUAAUAAAAAGGAGACAUAGCUUCUUUCAAUGUAAAAAGAAAAAAGGUCAAUUGCUCAAAAGAUUUCUCAAGGCAUUGUAAACACAAACAUGCUCAUGUUUUCCCAUAUGUCCACGUAGGCACUGAUUAGUAAGCUGGAAAUAGAACUUCUCAUUCUCAAUCACCAAUAUUCUAGUUUGAUUGUCAUUUAUAUUAUUAUUGUGACAAUAAAAGCAAUACUAUAGGCGAUGCUGAUACCAUAGCCACCAGGUCUUGUCUUCAUUAGUAAUGCAUUGAAAGGCAAAAUCCACAUUGACUAGGGCAGAGCAGUACCAGCAUUACCCUUGGCAGCAGAAGAAUUUACGACCACGCAUAUAUAUAAAGGGCUAAUAAUCAAAUAUAUCCCCAAUUUUGCCUGGUUUUUUGGUUGAUAAGUUACUUAUUUUAUUCCAACUGGACCAAUGGAUCUAGGUGUAUGUGAAAGCUACUUUUAGUUGAGACCCAAGUCUCUUUUGAUGAUAGGGCCUGCCAAGGGCCACCAUAGAGUAUUGUUUGGAAAACUAAAUCUCAAAAAUAAUUUUAAGCAGCUCUAUAAGAGAUGAACGAAACUUUGCAAAUGCCAUAGUUUGAUUCCUCUUGACAGCACAUGAGAGGCCUACUUCCAAAACAAGAAGUUAUGAUUAUUUUUGCCUUUCAUCUCAACAAAAUAUUAGGAUGUGCAAAUGCCACAGAACUAGCGGAUGCAAUUGAAAUAAAAUCAGCAACUUGAGAGUUGAGAACUAUAAUAAAACCAGAAGCACAUGACAGAAUUAAGAAAGCCCAAAAAGUUCAGGGUAUAUUAGAUCAUUUGUCAAAUAAUUAGUAGUAGAUUUAUUGCAUAUGUUCUUCUGCUUAAGGAGGAAAAAAGAAAGCCUCCAUUUUAUGAAGUCUCUAAAUUUAUUACAACAAAUAAAAAAACAGAUUUCCACCUAAAACUCAUUUGAAAGAUUUGAAAACCUAGGCUGGUUUCGUUUCAAUGAAAUAAGCUCAAAAAGUCAGACUGGUUAACACAAACAACUAUCACUUUUCCUCAUGCAGAAAUCCCUUUUGACCACUCAACUUCCUCUCUAAUUAACUUACGAGAAGGUAAAGCUAGAAUAACUCCAUCUUUCAAGGUAACAGCAACUCCAUUUUCCA
rnacentral:lncRNA from 1 species